rnacentral:rRNA from 1 species
UACGUAGGGCGCAAGCGUUAUCCGGAAUUAUUGGGCGUAAAGAGCUCGUAGGCGGUUUGUCGCGUCUGCCGUGAAAGCCCGGGGCUCAACCCCGGAAGCGCAUCCGAUACGACGGCGCUCGAGUACGGGAGAGGAGCGCGGAAUUCCCGGUGUAGAGGUGAAAUUCGUAGAUAUCGGGAGGAACACCAGUGGCGCAGGCGGCGCUCUGGACCGUGACUGACGCUGAGACGCGAAAGCGUGGGUAGCAAACAGG